GGAAAUUUCACUAUUAAUUUUUUUCCAGUCAUCUCUCAACUUUGAAGUUUGUUAUACUUUUGUCCCUUAUUUUAAUUUUGUUACUAUAAAGUCUCUUAAUUUAAAAAAAAUGUUACAUAAAAGUCACUUAUGGCAGAAUUUUUUAUAUCUUAAUCAAUCUAAUACGUGACAGUACUACGUUAUAAAAUAAAAAAAAAAAUUAAAGAAAUUAA
rnacentral:misc_RNA from 1 species